AGAACGAACGCUGGCGGCAGGCCUAACACAUGCAAGUCGAACGCCGUAGCAAUACGGAGUGGCAGACGGGUGAGUAACGCGUGGGAACAUACCCUUUGGUUCGGAAUAGCUCAGGGAAACUUGGAUUAAUACCGGAUACGCCUUGUGAGCAAUCAUGAGGGAAAGAUUUAUCGCCGAAGGAUUGGCCCGCGUCUGAUUAGCUGGUUGGCGGGGUAACGGCCCACCAAGGCGACGAUCAGCAGCUGGUCUGAGAGGAUGAUCAGCCACAUUGGGACUGAGACACGGCCCAAACUCCUACGGGAGGCAGCAGUGGGGAAUAUUGGACAAUGGGCGCAAGCCUGAUCCAGCCAUGCCGCGUGAGUGAUGAAGGCCUUAGGGUUGUAAAGCUCUUUUACCUGGGAAGAUAAUGACGGUACCAGGAGAAUAAGCCCCGGCUAACUUCGUGCCAGCAGCCGCGGUAAUACGAAGGGGGCUAGCGUUGUUCGGAUUUACUGGGCGUAAAGCGCACGUAGGCGGAUCUUUAAGUCAGAGGUGAAAUGCCGGGGCUCAACCCCGGAACUGCCUUUGAUACUGGGGAUCUGGAGUCCGGGAGAGGUGAGCGGAACUGCGAGUGUAGAGGUGAAAUUCGUAGAUAUUCGCAAGAACACCAGUGGCGAAGGCGGCUCACUGGCCCGGUACUGACGCUGAGGUGCGAAAGCGUGGGGAGCAAACAGGAUUAGAUACCCUGGUAGUCCACGCCGUAAACGAUGGAUGCUAGCCGUUAGGCAGCUUGCUGCUUAGUGGCGCAGUCAACGCUUCAAGCAUCCCGCCUGGGGAGUACGGUCGCAAGAUUAAA
rnacentral:rRNA from 1 species